rnacentral:rRNA from 1 species
UACGAAGGGGGCUAGCGUUGUUCGGAAUUACUGGGCGUAAAGCGCGCGUAGGCGGACGUUUAAGUCAGGGGUGAAAUGCCGGGGCUCAACUCCGGAAUUGCCUUUAAAACUGCAUCGCUAGAGUUGUGGAGAGGUAAGUGGAAUUCCGAGUGUAGAGGUGAAAUUCGUAGAUAUUCGGAAGAACACCAGUGGCGAAGGCGACUUACUGGACACAUACUGACGCUGAGGUGCGAAAGCGUGGGGAGCAAACAGG